CAAAUUUGAUGUCGUUUUAGCGCUUUGCUUCUGAAUAUCAGCACAGGGACUGACAUUCAGGGUUUCAGGGAUUCAGAGAGCCGAUACUUUAGCCAGGACGGCAGUGAGUGCAUGACGGUGGCCUCAGCUGAUGGACGACGGUGGCCGCCGAGCGAUCGGCAGCAGGUAACAAGAGCAAAGGCUGCUGCUCAUUGUUGGGUUCCAGGACUAGGAAGGAACACUGAAGCUUAUACGUUUUAAAGGAUCAGUUUUGGUGUUCCAUCUUCUCUAUCAAAGCCAUAGGGCUUGAACCCGCUGCUCCGCUCUAAUAUGGCAGCAGCUGGGAGUUGGUGACAGAGCAGGUUUGGACGGGGCUACCUUAUCGGAGACCUGGGUGGUUUGGAUUUCG